CAAACGGACGCUUGCCGGGCUCCAGAGCCUGCCUUCGGCCUUUGUCUCCUUCUUCCCAGACUUGGCUACGGCGCCUCUGAUCCUCUCUCUGCUGGCGGCGCAGCUGCUCUUCCCUUUCCUGCAGGAGCUGUUCCUCCUCACGGAACUUCCUGUCACGCUCCUGGCGCAGCUGCUGCUCACGUUCCCUCCUGCGCAGCUGCUCUUCCCUUUCCUGCAGGAGCUGUUCCUCCUCACGGAACUUCCUGUCGCGCUCCUGGCGGCGCAGCUGCUCUUCUCUUUCCUGCAGGAGCGGUUCCUCCUCACGGAACUUCCUGUCACGCUCCUGGCGCAGCUGCUGCUCACGUUCCCUCCUGCGUAGCUGCUCUUCCCUUUCCUGCAGGAGCCGUUCCUCCUCGCGGAACUUCCUGUCACGCUCCUGGCGCAGCUGCUGCUCACGUUCCCUCCUGCGCAGCUGCUCUUCCCUUUCCUGCAGGAGCUGUUCCUCCUCACGGAACUUCCUGUCGCGCUCCUGGCGGCGCAGCUGCUCUUCUCUUUCCUGCAGGAGCGGUUCCUCCUCACGGAACUUCCUGUCACGCUCCUGGCACAGCUGCUGCUCACGUUCCCUCCUGCGCAGCUGCUCUUCCCUUUCCUGCAGGAGCUGUUCCUCCUCACGGAACUUCCUGUCGCGCUCCUGGCGGCGCAGCUGCUCUUCCCUUUCCUGCAGGAGCCGUUCCUCCUCGCGGAACUUCCUGUCACGCUCCUGGCGCAGCUGCUGCUCACGUUCCCUCCUGCGCAGCUGCUCUUCCCUUUCCUGCAGGAGCUGUUCCUCCUCACGGAACUUCCUGUCGCGCUCCUGGCGGCGCAGCUGCUCUUCUCUUUCCUGCAGGAGCGGUUCCUCCUCACGGAACUUCCUGUCACGCUCCUGGCACAGCUGCUGCUCACGUUCCCUCCUGCGUAGCUGCUCUUCCCUUUCCUGCAGGAGCUGUUCCUCCUCGCGGAACUUCCUGUCGCGCUCCUGGCGCAGCUGCUGCUCACGUUCCCUCCUGCGCAGCUGCUCUUCCCUUUCCUGCAGGAGCUGUUCCUCCUCACGGAACUUCCUGUCACGCUCCUGGCGGCGCAGCUGCUCUUCCCUUUCCUGCAGGAGCUGUUCCUCCUCACGGAACUUCCUGUCACGCUCUUGGCGGCGCAGCUGCUCUUCCCUUUCCUGCAGGAGCUGUUCCUCCUCACGGAACUUCCUGUCGCGCUCCUGGCGGCGCAGCUGCUCUUCCCUUUCCUGCAGGAGCUGUUCCUCCUCACGGAACUUCCUGUCGCGCUCCUGGCGCAGCUGCUGCUCACGUUCCCUCCUGCGCAGCUGCUCUUCCCUUUCCUGCAGGAGCUGUUCCUCCUCGCGGAACUUCCUGUCGCGCUCCUGGCGGCGCAGCUGCUCUUCCCUUUCCUGCAGGAGCUGUUCCUCCUCGCGGAACUUCCUGUCGCGCUCUUGGCGGCGCAGCUGCUCUUCUCUUUCCUGCAGGAGCUGUUCCUCCUCACGGAACUUCCUGUCGCGCUCCUGGCGGCGCAGCUGCUCUUCCCUUUCCUGCAGGAGCUGUUCCUCCUCGCGGAACUUCCUGUCGCGCUCCUGGCGGCGCAGCUGCUCUUCCCUUUCCUGCAGGAGCUGUUCCUCCUCGCGGAACUUCCUGUCGCGCUCCUGGCGGCGCAGCUGCUCUUCCCUUUCCUGCAGGAGCUGUUCCUCCUCGCGGAACUUCCUGUCGCGCUCCUGGCGGCGCAGCUGCUCUUCCCUUUCCUGCAGGAGCUGUUCCUCCUCGCGGAACUUCCUGUCGCGCUCCUGGCGGCGCAGCUGCUCUUCCCUUUCCUGCAGGAGCUGUUCCUCCUCGCGGAACUUCCUGUCGCGCUCCUGGCGGCGCAGCUGCUCUUCCCUUUCCUGCAGGAGCUGUUCCUCCUCGCGGAACUUCCUGUCGCGCUCCUGGCGGCGCAGCUGCUCUUCCCUUUCCUGCAGGAGCUGUUCCUCCUCGCGGAACUUCCUGUCGCGCUCCUGGCGGCGCAGCUGCUCUUCCCUUUCCUGCAGGAGCUGUUCCUCCUCACGGAACUUCCUGUCGCGCUCCUGGCGCAGCUGCUGCUCACGUUCCCUCCUGCGCAGCUGCUCUUCCCUUUCCUGCAGGAGCGGUUCCUCCUGGCGCCUCCUUUUCUCGCGUUCCUCCCUCUGCACCUGCUCUUCCUCCCUCAGCUGCUCCCGUUCAGCUGGCUUGGCGUACACUAUGUGGCGGUGCCUUUGGCUUUCUUCAUCGGGUUGCCACCUCCAUUUUUGGUCUCGGCGCUGCUCCUCCUGGCGUAGCUUCCUCCCUUGAUCCUCCUGGAAGUUCUCCAACCGGAGCUGCUUCUCCUCCUCACGGACCUGCUGCUCCUGCCCCCUCUCGAGUCGUCGGCGCUGCUGCUCCUCCUCACGGAACAGUUCCCGCUCCUGUGGCUCCUCCGCUCUUAGCUGCCUCUCCCGCUGCUCCUGCAAAGCGGGCCUGGCCGACAGCCUCUGGCGGCGCCUCUCGCUCUCUUCCUCCGCCUGCCACUGCCAUUUAG
rnacentral:lncRNA from 1 species